rnacentral:rRNA from 1 species
AACGGCCGUACCAUGCUGAAUAUACCGGUUCUCUUUAGAUCACCGAAGUUAAGCAUCAUUGGGCGCGGUCAGUACUUGGGUGGGUGACCACCUGGGAACACUGCGUGCCGUU